GUUGGGAUGGUCGAGUUGGUCUAAGGCGCUAGAUUAAGAUUCUGGUCCGAAAGGGCGUGGGUUCAAAUCCCACUCUCAACA